GCGCCGGUAGCUCAGUUGGAUAGAGCAACGGCCUUCUAAGCCGUGGGUCGCGGGUUCGAAUCCUGCCCGGCGCGCCA
rnacentral:tRNA from 1 species